rnacentral:lncRNA from 1 species
CCCGUCUCGGAGCUUGCUGGCAGUAGGGCACGCGCGGCCUUCUCAUUGGCCCGGAGGACACCCGCUCCAGACCCGGAGACGCAGACACGGGCCACGGGGCUGCCAGAGUCGAGCGCGGGGAAGAGCUCGCCGCCGCCGCUCGGUCACUGGCUGGCCGGGAUCCGGGCAGGCCGCGAGAAUCUUGCUUCACAAUACCUAAGACCAUCAAGAGAGACAAAGGGUCAAGUACCUCACUCCAACUUAUCUAAGAACAGCAAGACAGUCAUCAGGACAAGAGUGAAUAUAUGAAGGAGGA